rnacentral:SRP_RNA from 1 species
UGGUUGGGCCGGUGCAGUGCCUCGAUCGGACAACGGGUCAGGUCCGGAAGGAAGCAUCCCAUUCGGCUCGAUUCACGUGCAUCGCACACCUGGCUGAC